AAAAUCGUAGCAUAAAUAAAUGCGUUUCACUUACACUGAAGAUAUAUUCUAAAUAUGAGUCGAUUUUA
rnacentral:tRNA from 1 species